UGGCGGACGGGUGAGUAAUGUCUGGGAAACUGCCUGAUGGAGGGGGAUAACUACUGGAAACGGUAGCUAAUACCGCAUAACGUCGCAAGACCAAAGAGGGGGACCUUCGGGCCUCUUGCCAUCAGAUGUGCCCAGAUGGGAUUAGCUAGUAGGUGGGGUAACGGCUCACCUAGGCGACGAUCCCUAGCUGGUCUGAGAGGAUGACCAGCCACACCGGAACUGAGACACGGUCCAG
rnacentral:rRNA from 1 species